rnacentral:lncRNA from 1 species
GUCAAGGUGAUGGGCAGGCGGGUGCCAGCUUGAGGGGUGGGAGCAGUGUAUCCACAGGGCCUAUGCAGUAGAGGGGCUCCUGGCUGUGAAUGUGAGCAUAUUCCCUGGGGGAGAGGGGGAUGUGUCCUUACCAUGAUGUACCCUGCAUUCACGUGUCUUCUGCCUUUUCUCCCCAGAUCUAAUGGGGGAGGGGGCAGAGCCAGCCCAGGGGGCAGGUGGGGGGCUGCCUUACCAGUACACGUGCCAUCACAUGUGUGAGCUGGGUGCAUUGAGCAACAGAACUUGGGAGAAAGGAGCUGGCAUUUCCCUCUUCAGGGCUGUUCACCAGGGUGGGACUCUCUGUAGCGACCAAAAGGUGUGUGUGUGCAUAGGCGUAUGUCUUCCUGGGGCUCUGUUUGUGUUGGCUGUCUUCUCUCCUGGUCACUCUUGGGCCUGGAACAGCCAGGAUUCCUCCCUAGCCUCCAACUCCACAGCAACUUUUCCAUUCCCAGCC